rnacentral:misc_RNA from 1 species
GAUCAUUAACGCGCAGGCCGGAGGCUGGCUCCCCCCCCCACGUCCGUCGGGGGUGAGCAGAUGUGCGCCGGCCGUACCGCCCCAUUCUUGUCUACCUUACUCGGUUGCCUCGGCGGGCCGCGCUCUCCCAGGAGAGCCGUUCGGCGAGCCUCUCUUUAGUGGCUCAACGCUGGACCGCGCCCGCCGGAGGACAGACGCAAAAAAAAUUCUUUCAGAAGAGCUGUCAGUCUGAGCGUUAGCAAGCAAAAAUCAGUUAAAACUUUCAACAACGGAUCUCUUGGUUCCGGCAUCGAUGAAGAACGCAGCGAAAUGCGAUAAGUAAUGUGAAUUGCAGAAUUCCGUGAAUCAUCGAAUCUUUGAACGCACAUUGCGCCCCCUGGUAUUCCGGGGGGCAUGCCUGUUCGAGCGUCAUUUCAGCCCCUCAAGCCCGGCUUGUGUGAUGGACGACCGUCCGGCGCCCCCUUCUCCGGGGGGUGCGGGACGCGCCCGAAAAGCAGUGGCCAGGCCGCGAUUCCGGCUUCCUAGGCGAAUGGGCAACAAACCAGCGCCUCCAGGACCGGCCGCCCUGGCCUCAGAAUCUGUUUCCAUACUUAUCAGGUUGACCUCGGAUC